CAUGUCUUUUUGAUAAUAAUUUAAAGUCUGGCCUGCUCAAUGAUUUUUAAAUUGCCGCAGUAUUUUGACUGUGCAAAGGUAGCAUAAUAAUUAGUUUUUUUAUUGAAAGCUGGAAUGAAGGGUUGGACAAGAUUAUAACUGUCUCUUUAUUAUUUUUUUUUGAAAUUAAUUUUUAAGUUAAAAGGCUUAAAUUUUUUUGAAAGACGAGAAGACCCUAUAGAGUUUUAUUUUUUUUUAUAUUAUUAUUUUUAGGAAUUUAAUGUUUUAAUUUUAGGAAGAAUUUAGUUGGGGUGACUUGAAGAUUUAUUUAACUCUUCAAAUUUUAAUCAUUGAUUUAUGAAUUUUGAAUCUAUAUUUUUAAAUAUAAAAUAAAUUACCUUAGGGAUAACAGCGUUAUUUUUCUUUAGAGUUCUUAUUGAAAGAGAAGUUUGCGACCUCGAUGUUGGAUUAAAAUUAAUUUUUGGUGAAGGAGCUGAAAAGAUUAAGUCUGUUCGACUUUUAAAAUUUUACAUGAUCUGAGU
rnacentral:rRNA from 1 species